rnacentral:lncRNA from 1 species
AACCCUAGAACUUAACAAAUAUCCUUUGUUUGUGGCGUUCAAAGAUUUAUCAUCAUUGAUGUGACGUCUUAUCUUUAGUUCUCAUCAAGAAUCCUUUCUUGUGGCGAACAUCAUCGACUUAUCAAACAACUUUGCUUGUAGCGUCUUACCUUUCUUUCCGAACCAUUUCUCCUAUCCAAAACAUACACAAAACCAUACACACUUCACCCAUAACAUAUACAUGUUCCAUACACAUAUCCGUACACCUAAAACCAUACAUAAUGUGUCAAACACUUAGAACAUACACAAAAAACGUGGACAUUGACAUACAAGUUACAUUCCAUGAGUCAAAUUGCCUUUCGGGCAAGAACGGUUGUACAGAAAAGCCAACCAUCCCUAGAGGUUCACAUCAGCAUGGACCAGGUUGGACUGGGUAAAGGUUUGUCCCUUACCCGAUCCUAAAUGUUGGUCAGAUCAUUUUUUGAACCCGGACGUGGCCCAAGACCCGAAGGUAACCCGACCCUAAAUGAUAAUCGGGUCAGCCUUUGAACCCGGACCCGACCCUAGACUUUAUUAAAUAUCAUGCAUACAUAUUUUAGUAAAGUUUUCUCAUUAUUACUUAUUAUUAUGGACAUGCAAUUUGACAUAUAAAAUGAUAUAUGUAUAUAUUAUUAAUCAUGUAUAUAUCAUGAAAAAAUUAGAGAAUCAGUGAUAUUUUCGACCAAAGAGGUGUCAUAACUCUCUGUACACAAUUAAAUAUAGACACACACAAACAUGAUGAGUGAGUGACCAUGAGAUGGGUCGGGUCGGGUCAUGCUUGUCCCCUACAAGGUCCUAAAUAUUGUUUGAGUAUAAUUUUUGAACCUGAACCUGACUCUAGACCCAAUGAAACUCGACCCUAUUCAAACCUCAUAAUAAUCAGGCUAUACCAGAUGAGCGGG